UUAUAUUAUAUUUCUAGGCAA
ensembl:piRNA 21ur-8210 ncRNA